AGCGAACGCUGGCGGCAGGCCUAACACAUGCAAGUCGAACGAACCUUUCGGGGUUAGUGGCGGACGGGUGAGUACCACGUGGGAACGUGCCUUUAGGUUCGGAAUAACUCAGGGAAACUUGUGCUAAUACCGAAUGUGCCCUUCGGGGGAAAGAUUAAUCGCCUUUAGAGCGGCCCGCGUCUGAUUAGCUAGUUGGUUGAGGUAAUGGCUCACCAAGGCGACGAUCAGUAGCUGUUCUGAGAGGAUGAUCAGCCACAUUGGGACUGAGACACGGCCCAAACUCCUACGGGAGGCAGCAGUGGGGAAUCUUGCGCAAUGGGCGAAAGCCUGACGCAGCCAUGCCGGGUGAAUGAUGAAGGUCUUAGGAUUGUAAAAUUCUUUCACCGGGGACGAUAAUGACGGUACCCGGAGAAGAAGCCCCGGCUAACUUCGUG
rnacentral:rRNA from 1 species